GUGUGUAACACAUUUUUCAGUCGGUAUGAGUUUGCCUUGCUCGGAUCAAAGCAUUAGGCCGAGGAAAAUGAAGAAUGCAAGUUUGCCUCUGGGGGUGGCAGUCCUGCGGUGUUGGUGUGGCGAUCUUUGCAAGGUGAAGGAGGUGACGGAUUUUUCAGAUUGGUUGGGCAUGAAGUUUUUCAUGUGCGCCAAUUAUGAGGAAGAUCCUGCCGUAGCUAUUUCAGAGUACGACAAGCCUCCGUCUCCUCCGCCUCUGUGCAUGUACUAUCGUUAGAUUGACACGGAGAAGCCGGCUUGGGCAGUGACUGAGAUUCAUGAAAGAAGUCGCCGUGCGUGGAAUAGUUUAUUUGCGGAAGAGCGACGCGAGAAGGCGGAAGCUGAGGAGAAAGCAGAGCAAGAGAAAGAGUUAAAAGAAUACUAUGCGGAGCAACACCGUUUUUUUCAGGAAAUGGGAAAGAAAAACAGGGAAGAGGCUCGUCGCAUGGAGGAGCAGGAACGACAGCGAAAGGAGGCUCGUGAGGCGGAGAGGCAGAGAAAGAAAGAAAGGGCUCGUGAGGCCAAGGCAGCAGAAGAAGCUGGCGAUGGAAAAGGAAAAUAUCCACGCUGGACUCAGUAGAUUCCUAUGGUAGUAUUUUAAAUUUCGCAAUCAUUUGUAUCUUUAUUUCUGCACUUUAAUGUAGCUUUAUUUCAGGAGUUAAAUGUAGGUUUAUUCCUACAAUGUAUCUUAUUUUCAGUUGUGUCGUGUCGUAAUGAAAAUAAAUAUAGUUUUAGAAUAAAGUAGUGGCAUUUUCUUUCCCUCCACUAAUAUCGAACAUCGUACAACAACUACAAAAUAAAAUUAAGAUAGAACAUAAUGCCCUACAAUAAGAGAGUGCAAACUAAUAAUGCAAGUACAUCCGAAUUAAACGGUAGAACUGGAAUACAGUUUAAAAACUACAUGAAGGCAUCAUCGUCAUCCUCCAUCGAUGCAGAACUCUUGCCCUUCGAGGAUGUAGAACUCUUACCCUUGGACGAUGUAGAACUCUUGCUCUUCGAGGAUGCAGUACUCUUGCCCUUAGACGAUGCAGAACUCUUGCCCUUUGACAUGCAGCACCCGGAAGCGGCGGCAUGAAGAUAUCAUCUUCAUCCUCGCUCUCCUCAGUCCAUAAAAAUGGAUGAUUUUCUGCAGUCCUUCUAAAAG